UCCUACGGGAGGCAGCAGUGGGGAAUUUUGCGCAAUGGGCUAACGCCUGACGCAGCAACGCCGCGUGGAGGAUGAAGGUCUUUGGAUCGUAAACUCCUGUCAGCAGGGAAAAAGGGAGUCGACCUAAUACGUCGGUGACUUGAUUGUACCUGCAGAGGAAGCCCCGGCUAACUCUGUGCCAGCAGCCGCGGUAAUACAGAGGGGGCAAGCGUUAUUCGGAAUUAUUGGGCGUAAAGGGCGCGUAGGCGGCUUUUCAAGUGACGGGUGAAAUCCCUCGGCUUAACCGAGGAACUGCCUGUCAGACUGGAAGGCUUGAGACCGGGAGAGGUGAGUGGAAUUCCCAGUGUAGCGGUGAAAUGCGUAGAUAUUGGGAGGAACACCAGUGGCGAAGGCGGCUCACUGGACCGGAACUGACGCUGAGGCGCGAAAGCGUGGGGAGCAAACAGGAUUAGAUACCCUGGUAGUCCACGCCGUAAACGAUGAGUGCUUGGUGUAGCGGGUAUCGACCCCUGCUGUGCCGAAGUCAACACAUUAAGCACUCCGCCUGGGGAGUACGGUCGCAAGACUGAAACUCAAAGGAAUUGACGGGGGCCCGCACAAGCGGCGGAGCAUGUGGUUUAAUUCGAAGCAACGCGAAGAACCUUACCUGGGUUUGAACUGCACAGGAAAGCCUCAGAGAUGAGGUCCCCUCUUCGGAGGUCUGUGUAGAGGUGCUGCAUGGCUGUCGUCAGCUCGUGUCGUGAGAUGUUGGGUUAAGUCCCGCAACGAGCGCAACCCUUAUUCAUAGUUACUAACGUGUAAUGGCGAGAACUCUAUGGAGACUGCCGGUGAUAAACCGGAGGAAGGUGGGGAUGACGUCAAGUCCUCAUGGCCUUUAUGUCCAGGGCUACACACGUGCUACAAUGGACGGUACAGAGAGUCGCGAGACCGCGAGGUGGAGCCAAUCUCAAAAAGCCGUUCUCAGUUCGGAUUGCACUCUGCAACUCGAGUGCAUGAAGUUGGAAUCGCUAGUAAUCGCGGAUCAGCACGCCGCGGUGAAUACGUUCCCGGGCCUUGUACACACGCCCU
rnacentral:rRNA from 1 species